rnacentral:rRNA from 1 species
GACGAACGCUGGCGGCGUGCUUAACACAUGCAAGUCGAACGGUGAUGCUCCAGCUUGCUGGAGUGGAUCAGUGGCGAACGGGUGAGUAACACGUGAGCAACCUGCCCCAGACUCUGGAAUAAGCGCUGGAAACGGCGUCUAAUACUGGAUACGAAACUGGCCCGCAUGGGCAUGGUUUGGAAAGUUUUUCGGUUUGGGAUGGGCUCGCGGCCUAUCAGCUUGUUGGUGAGGUAAUGGCUCACCAAGGCGACGACGGGUAGCCGGCCUGAGAGGGCGACCGGCCACACGGGGACGGAGACAGGGCCAGGACUCCUAGGGGGGGCGGCGGGGGGAAAUAUUGCACAGGGGGCGAACGCCGGAGGCAGCGGCGCCGGGGGGGGGAUAAGGGCUUUCGGGUUGUAACCCUCUUGCAGCGGGGAAAAAGCAAAAGGGAGGUUCCCUGAAAAAGAGGCCCGGGCUAACUACGUG